rnacentral:rRNA from 1 species
UAAGCGUACACGGUGGAUGCCCUGGCAGUCAGAGGCGAUGAAGGACGUGCUAAUCUGCGAUAAGCGUCGGUGAGGUGAUAUGAACCGUUAUAACCGGCGAUUUCCGAAUGGGGAAACCCAGUGUGUUUCGACACACUAUCAUUAACUGAAUCCAUAGGUUAAUGAGGCGAACCGGGGGAACUGAAACAUCUAAGUACCCCGAGGAAAAGAAAUCAACCGAGAUUCCCCCAGUAGCGGCGAGCGAACGGGGAGGAGCCCAGAGCCUGAAUCAGUGUGUGUGUUAGUGGAAGCGUCUGGAAAGGCGCGCGAUACAGGGUGACAGCCCCGUACACAAAAAUGCACAUAUUGUGAGCUCGAUGAGUAGGGCGGGACACGUGGUAUCCUGUCUGAAUAUGGGGGGACCAUCCUCCAAGGCUAAAUACUCCUGACUGACCGAUAGUGAACCAGUACCGUGAGGGAAAGGCGAAAAGAACCCCGGCGAGGGGAGUGAAAAAGAACCUGAAACCGUGUACGUACAAGCAGUGGGAGCCUCUUUAUGGGGUGACUGCGUACCUUUUGUAUAAUGGGUCAGCGACUUAUAUUCUGUAGCAAGGUUAACCGAAUAGGGGAGCCGAAGGGAAACCGAGUCUUAACUGGGCGUUAAGUUGCAGGGUAUAGACCCGAAACCCGGUGAUCUAGCCAUGGGCAGGUUGAAGGUUGGGUAACACUAACUGGAGGACCGAACCGACUAAUGUUGAAAAAUUAGCGGAUGACUUGUGGCUGGGGGUGAAAGGCCAAUCAAACCGGGAGAUAGCUGGUUCUCCCCGAAAGCUAUUUAGGUAGCGCCUCGUGAAUUCAUCUCCGGGGGUAGAGCACUGUUUCGGCAAGGGGGUCAUCCCGACUUACCAACCCGAUGCAAACUGCGAAUACCGGAGAAUGUUAUCACGGGAGACACACGGCGGGUGCUAACGUCCGUCGUGAAGAGGGAAACAACCCAGACCGCCAGCUAAGGUCCCAAAGUCAUGGUUAAGUGGGAAACGAUGUGGGAAGGCCCAGACAGCCAGGAUGUUGGCUUAGAAGCAGCCAUCAUUUAAAGAAAGCGUAAUAGCUCACUGGUCGAGUCGGCCUGCGCGGAAGAUGUAACGGGGCUAAACCAUGCACCGAAGCUGCGGCAGCGACACUAUGUGUUGUUGGGUAGGGGAGCGUUCUGUAAGCCUGUGAAGGUGGCCUGUGAGGGUUGCUGGAGGUAUCAGAAGUGCGAAUGCUGACAUAAGUAACGAUAAAGCGGGUGAAAAGCCCGCUCGCCGGAAGACCAAGGGUUCCUGUCCAACGUUAAUCGGGGCAGGGUGAGUCGACCCCUAAGGCGAGGCCGAAAGGCGUAGUCGAUGGGAAACAGGUUAAUAUUCCUGUACUUGGUGUUACUGCGAAGGGGGGACGGAGAAGGCUAUGUUGGCCGGGCGACGGUUGUCCCGGUUUAAGCGUGUAGGCUGGUUUUCCAGGCAAAUCCGGAAAACCAAGGCUGAGGCGUGAUGACGAGGCACUACGGUGCUGAAGCGACAAAUGCCCUGCUUCCAGGAAAAGCCUCUAAGCAUCAGGUAACAUCAAAUCGUACCCCAAACCGACACAGGUGGUCAGGUAGAGAAUACCAAGGCGCUUGAGAGAACUCGGGUGAAGGAACUAGGCAAAAUGGUGCCGUAACUUCGGGAGAAGGCACGCUGAUAUGUAGGUGAAGCGACUUGCUCGUGGAGCUGAAAUCAGUCGAAGAUACCAGCUGGCUGCAACUGUUUAUUAAAAACACAGCACUGUGCAAACACGAAAGUGGACGUAUACGGUGUGACGCCUGCCCGGUGCCGGAAGGUUAAUUGAUGGGGUUAGCGGUAACGCGAAGCUCUUGAUCGAAGCCCCGGUAAACGGCGGCCGUAACUAUAACGGUCCUAAGGUAGCGAAAUUCCUUGUCGGGUAAGUUCCGACCUGCACGAAUGGCGUAAUGAUGGCCAGGCUGUCUCCACCCGAGACUCAGUGAAAUUGAACUCGCUGUGAAGAUGCAGUGUACCCGCGGCAAGACGGAAAGACCCCGUGAACCUUUACUAUAGCUUGACACUGAACAUUGAGCCUUGAUGUGUAGGAUAGGUGGGAGGCUUUGAAGUGUGGACGCCAGUCUGCAUGGAGCCGACCUUGAAAUACCACCCUUUAAUGUUUGAUGUUCUAACGUUGGCCCGUAAUCCGGGUUGCGGACAGUGUCUGGUGGGUAGUUUGACUGGGGCGGUCUCCUCCUAAAGAGUAACGGAGGAGCACGAAGGUUGGCUAAUCCUGGUCGGACAUCAGGAGGUUAGUGCAAUGGCAUAAGCCAGCUUGACUGCGAGCGUGACGGCGCGAGCAGGUGCGAAAGCAGGUCAUAGUGAUCCGGUGGUUCUGAAUGGAAGGGCCAUCGCUCAACGGAUAAAAGGUACUCCGGGGAUAACAGGCUGAUACCGCCCAAGAGUUCAUAUCGACGGCGGUGUUUGGCACCUCGAUGUCGGCUCAUCACAUCCUGGGGCUGAAGUAGGUCCCAAGGGUAUGGCUGUUCGCCAUUUAAAGUGGUACGCGAGCUGGGUUUAGAACGUCGUGAGACAGUUCGGUCCCUAUCUGCCGUGGGCGCUGGAGAACUGAGGGGGGCUGCUCCUAGUACGAGAGGACCGGAGUGGACGCAUCACUGGUGUUCGGGUUGUCAUGCCAAUGGCACUGCCCGGUAGCUAAAUGCGGAAGAGAUAAGUGCUGAAAGCAUCUAAGCACGAAACUUGCCCCGAGAUGAGUUCUCCCUGACUCCUUGAGAGUCCUGAAGGAACGUUGAAGACGACGACGUUGAUAGGCCGGGUGUGUAAGCGCAGCGAUGCGUUGAGCUAACCGGUACUAAUGAACCGUGAGGCUUAACCUU